rnacentral:rRNA from 1 species
CAGGCUUAACACAUGCAAGUCGAGGGGCAGCACAGGUAGCAAUACCGGGUGGCGACCGGCGCACGGGUGAGUAACGCGUAUGCAACUUGCCUAUCAGAGGGGGAUAACCCGGCGAAAGUCGGACUAAUACCGCAUGAAGCAGGGGCCCCGCAUGGGGAUAUUUGCUAAAGAUUCAUCGCUGAUAGAUAGGCAUGCGUUCCAUUAGGCAGUUGGCGGGGUAACGGCCCACCAAACCGACGAUGGAUAGGGGUUCUGAGAGGAAGGUCCCCCACAUUGGUACUGAGACACGGACCAAACUCCUACGGGAGGCAGCAGUGAGGAAUAUUGGUCAAUGGCCGAGAGGCUGAACCAGCCAAGUAGCGUGAAGGAUGACUGCCCUAUGGGUUGUAAACUUCUUUUAUACGGGAAUAAAGUGAGGCACGUGUGCCUUUUUGUAUGUACCGUAUGAAUAAGGAUCGGCUAACUCCGUGCCAGCAGCCGCGGUAAUACGGAGGAUCCGAGCGUUAUCCGGAUUUAUUGGGUUUAAAGGGUGCGUAGGCGGCCUUUAAGUCAGCGGUGAAAGUCUGUGGCUCAACCAUAGAAUUGCCGUUGAAACUGGGGGGCUUGAGUAUGUUUGAGGCAGGCGGAAUGCGUGGUGUAGCGGUGAAAUGCAUAGAUAUCACGCAGAACCCCGAUUGCGAAGGCAGCCUGCCAAGCCAUUACUGACGCUGAUGCACGAAAGCGUGGGGAUCAAACAGGAUUAGAUACCCUGGUAGUCCACGCAGUAAACGAUGAUCACUAGCUGUUUGCGAUACACUGUAAGCGGCACAGCGAAAGCGUUAAGUGAUCCACCUGGGGAGUACGCCGGCAACGGUGAAACUCAAAGGAAUUGACGGGGGCCCGCACAAGCGGAGGAACAUGUGGUUUAAUUCGAUGAUACGCGAGGAACCUUACCCGGGUUUGAACGCAUUCGGACCGAGGUGGAAACACCUUUUCUAGCAAUAGCCGUUUGCGAGGUGCUGCAUGGUUGUCGUCAGCUCGUGCCGUGAGGUGUCGGCUUAAGUGCCAUAACGAGCGCAACCCUUGCCACUAGUUACUAACAGGUUAGGCUGAGGACUCUGGUGGGACUGCCAGCGUAAGCUGCGAGGAAGGCGGGGAUGACGUCAAAUCAGCACGGCCCUUACAUCCGGGGCGACACACGUGUUACAAUGGCGUGGACAAAGGGAUGCCACCUGGCGACAGGGAGCGAAUCCCCAAACCACGUCUCAGUUCGGAUCGGAGUCUGCAACCCGACUCCGUGAAGCUGGAUUCGCUAGUAAUCGCGCAUCAGCCAUGGCGCGGUGAAUACGUUCCCGGGCCUUGUACACACCGCCCGUCAAGCCAUGGGAGCCGGGGGUACCUGAAGUCCGUAACCGAAAGGGUCGGCCUAGGGUAAAACUGGUGACUGGGGCUAA